rnacentral:rRNA from 1 species
AGUGAACGCUGGCGGUAGGCCUAACACAUGCAAGUCGAACGGCAGCACAGGAGAGCUUGCUCUCUGGGUGGCGAGUGGCGGACGGGUGAGGAAUACAUCGGAAUCUACUCUGUCGUGGGGGAUAACGUAGGGAAACUUACGCUAAUACCGCAUACGACCUACGGGUGAAAGCAGGGGACCUUCGGGCCUUGCGCGAUUGAAUGAGCCGAUGUCGGAUUAGCUAGUUGGCGGGGUAAAGGCCCACCAAGGCGACGAUCCGUAGCCGGUCUGACGGGAUGUUCAGCCACACUGGAACGGAGACACGGUCCGGACUCCUACGGGAGGCAGCAGUGGGGAAUAUUGGACAAUGGGCGCAAGCCUGAUCCAGCCAUACCGCGUGGGUGAAGAAGGCCUUCGGGUUGUAAAGCCCUUUUGUUGGGAAAGAAAUCCAGCUGGCUAAUACCCGGUUGGGAUGACGGUACCCAAAGAAUAAGCACCGGCUAACUUCGUGCCAGCCGCCGCAGUAA